rnacentral:rRNA from 1 species
CGCGUAGGCGGCCAUGUAAGUCACGUGUGAAAUCCCGGGGCUCAACCCCGGAAGUGCACUUGAAACUACAUGGCUUGAGUAUGGGAGAGGGAAGUGGAAUUCCUGGUGUAGAGGUGAAAUUCGUAGAUAUCAGGAGGAACACCGGUGGCGAAGGCGACUUCCUGGACCAAUACUGACGCUGAGGCGCGAAGGCGUGGGGAGCAAACA